GCUUACCCUGCUUGCACAAAUAUUUGUGCACAGAGAUCUGUGCCAUCCACUUGAUGUUAUCACGUCAUUAGCUGUCAAAAUGUGCUGGAGUGUCUGCCAACUUCCAGUCUAAAAUCCCACGCUAAACAAUCCUGAUACAUGAAAAAUCUUUGAUAACAGGUUUGUAAGAAUCUCUUUGGCUAGAAUAUACCAGCAAGACAGCCACAGGAUGAUUCACUGCCUUAGACUUUGGGCUAGAUGGCCUCAUGGCUUCUUCUGGAGAGAAGGCAGUUCUUCCAGAGAGCAGUUUUGUCGGAGAAGAUGACUAAUUUACACUUGCUCGUAGCAACAGACCACCCGGUCCCGUCUUUGUGAUGCCUGCAGAGCAGUAACAAUGCCGUCUGUAGCGACGCUACCGCCGCAUGCCCGGCGGCAGGGAUGUUUGUUGGUGGCCCCAAACCCCAUUUGUGGUUCCCAGCUUGUCCGUAACUGGCAAAUACCGGCGUUUCUCCUGGAAAUGCUGCUGCGAGCCAGUGGACGAGGAGGUGGGAGCCUGUUGUGGGGCCCAGCGUGGGGUGGAAGUUCCCUCUGGUGGAGGAACGGACCCACUACAGAGGUUAGAGCCGCACGGCGGUGCAGGUGCGUGGCUCUUUGAAGCUGCACCUGGAAGAUCGCUUUUCAAGGUGCCAAACUUCACGUGUGUCUGUACUGCAGCUUUAGCUUUUAAUAAAACUAUAGAUUUUCUGGAAAUCAGGUUGAGAGAGCCUACGUGGGACAUGAUGGGACAGCCGUUAUGGAGGACUUUGAGCUGAGAAGGGGAAAGGUGUUGGGUAAGGGCUGGGUGCUGCAAGAUGAGCUUCCCCCGGCGGAGAUGGACGGGAGGAUGGCUGGGGCUGACGAGGUCUGUGAUCAGCUCCUCGCUCUGCUGCCUCCACUUUGACAUAUUGAGUGUUGCCCUAGUUCCUCGCAGUUUAUUCAUGACGCAGGAAUUUCAGUCGCUUUCCGCUACGCUGUCCCAGGAUGCUGGGGCAGCUGGGUCCCUGGCCUCCAUGCCUGACUAUAAAACACACCUUGAAUUUCCACAGGAGGGUCGUGUCUUUCUGGUAGAGGAAAAAAUCAAAGCAGAGACAGAUGCUUUUUGACAGUCUAGUUGCAUUUGAAGCAAUGUGCCGAUGCAGUGAAGGACAGCAGAGCCCAAACGAAACCCAGGGAAGAACGAGCCUUCAGGCUAAGCCAACGUCUGUUGAUCUGCGUGUGGGCGAAUGUUCCUGGUGGAGGUUGGACCUGAGAGCUGCGCGAGGUGCCGCGAGGAGAAGCAGUGUGCUGGCUGUCCUCGUUUGGCAGUGACGGGGACUCACCUGGGCUAAUGCCCUUGCCACUUGUGCCUGCUGCCUUUGGGCUGUGGAGAGGGAUCUGCCUCUUCCUAUACAUCCAGCACUGUGUCUUAGUGUAGGGGCUAGUCUGACAUGAAUGGUUUGUAGGGUUUUGCGUGGUGUCCUGUGUACAGUGCUGGGCCCCCCAGUGCAAGAGAGCCAUGGGCAUACUGGGGAGAGCCCAGCAGAGGGUCCCUGAGAUGAUGAAGGGCCUGGAGCACCUCUGCUGUGAG
ensembl:lncRNA